UAAAGAAAGACGUGUAACGGAGCACAUGUUGUUUUAUUUAAUAAACUAGAGGACUUCGCCCACGAUUUGCUGUGGCUAAACUACACAUUAAUUAUAAACUGUUCAAUGCAGUAAAAUUGUGUUUAUGAAUAAAAACGUUGUAACAAGAAGCUCGUGGAUUACUUCCAAAUUUGAAAUUCUGCAAGACGGAGGUAACAGAUAGCACAACCACGUUGAACCAACAGAAGCAGGGAAAUUUGUGGCAAAUAUUUUUGUUUCAACAAGUAUGCACUACUUGUAAGCACUCAUAAAUGUGCACAAUAAUAAUUUAUUUGGAGAUUACACCGUUUCCUGCGUAUAUACUGCGUACUAAAUUUGUAAGAUAAAAAAGUUUUCUAUACAAGAAAUUGAUUUUGUUCGGACAUCUGUUCUGAUUAACUUGUUAUCCGUUCUAUAAAAUGUAAUUUUAUCUUUUAUGGUUCGUUUACUAAAUACCUCUAUUAUUGGUGUCGCAUAAGAAAACUUUUACAGGACCUUAUGGUGGAUGAUGUAAGUUUCCUUAAAACGACUGGACAUUGCUGGCCGUGAUAUCACACGAUAUCUGUUCAAGUAGCAGUUGCUUGGGGGUUAUAGGUUUGAUGAAACCGCUGCUUAUAAAACUGUGCAUGAAACUUUGCUAUCACCUAUGAUAUCGAGAUGGAACAUUACCCGAUGGUUGUUUGAUAACGGUUUUGAGACGCUAUUCCAACCGCAUUUAAUAAACGUUGAAGGACAAGACAUCUCUGGGUUAGGGGUUAACAUCAUACAAACGGCCGAUAUCGAUGUACGACAGGAUUUGUAGAAGCAUAUCAUGCGCGUGUGGAUAAAUUAGCGACAUUUAAAAUUCACAUUGAUGAUCCACUACGACGAAAAGCUAUGGUCUUCAUCGCCGCGUUGUUUUAGCUUAGAUGGCAAGGGAUAGCGAUGUUUUGUGGAUGUGUGUGCGUAUUACAGAAAUUUACAAAGAGCUGACAGUAGUAGGAAGAGCAAAAAGUUAAAUAAAAAAAUAAUAUUGUUACUGUUUUAAAUUUAUACCAAUACAUGCGUACCUCUGCGAAUGGUAAGCACCUUGCAUUGGUGUAAGGUCUUAAGUCGCAAGGCAUAGUUGUGACCCCCAAACAGGUGUGAGUGGUGUUGAUUAGCACUGCUCAGGCAGGAUGUCGGGCGCCGCAUGCGUACGGCAACCAAGAGCUACCACCUUCUAAUCCAGGAUGUUAUGCGACACUCAUGCCCAUUGGUUGAUUUGCAACCAGAAGGAAAAUUCAGCUGUAUUUUUAACAUAGCCUUCCCAACACCGGGCCGAAAUGGGAAGUAACGAUGGCUUUACCACGUCAUGAGGCUCUGGCGGGGUGGACCUUUACUUCCCCUUAACUUACGCGCGAAACAGAUGGACAACGACACAAUAACUAAAAACAUAACCGUAACUAAGUAAAGAUCUAAGGACAACGGUAACAAAAAUGAAAACAACAGUGGCAUUGUUGCAGGCAAAAAACGCAAGUUUAGUUUCCUGGAUGCCCUAUCGCCUGAGGAGCGAGCACUGUUUUAGGUGCAUGCCAGGAGGCUGAUGAUGACAUGCCCUCAUGCAGCGGUGCUGCAUCCACUGCACACGCAAAUAAUGCAGCGAACACCUACGCAACUCCCCUAAGCAGGAUCAGCUGCUCAGACUCAAGAGAGUCGCAACGCACUUGCGUAGCAGGAGGCGCUGGUAGGAGAAAGAGGAGGCGCAAGGUAAGUCAGGUCGUCCGGGUGGUCAUGAUGACCGUCGCAGAAAAGGAAUAAGUGGUGAAAGCCCGAAAUGGUACCUAAGACACCUCCAGGAGGGAGGAAAGCAGCCAUAUCACGCAACAGGAGCUAUCGGACUCUAUGACGCAGCGAGGUAAAUAUGCCCAGGUUGCUGGAGGCCAACUCUUCGCACCUAGUCCUCCUCAGGCAGCUGAGGGACAGCGCAGACAUGCGGUUGCCUUAAAGGUAUACGAAUGGCUUUGCUGCCUCUGAACUACCCGGCGGGGGCAGAUAAGCUCACAUCUCUGCAACAUCUUCUCAUGGAAGAGAUGUUACAGGGGAUGUAAGAACCCGGUAGCCUUUCAUGGGGUGUACUUCAAGGGCGGGUUUAUGCAGGUCGAUUGCAAGACUGAGGAAAGCGCUAACUGGCUACGAAAGAUCGCUCCCAAGCUAGUGAGGUGGGAAGGUCCCAUCCUAUGCGUGAUGAGGGGGGAGGACAUUCCGAUCAUGCACUAUAUGACGGUACUUCUCCCGAGAUGUGCGGGUGAACUGUUGUGUGGACGACGAGUCCUACAAAUUCAUCCGGAAGGAGAGCUUCCGUCUGAGCUAUCGGUUCAGCACGGUAGUCAUGAGGCCCUACAAGCCGAGGGCUACCGAAAAGAAAGACGAGAAGAUGCAGGUAGACGAGGAGGUCAUUCGCCUUAGCACCAUUUCGGCCCAGCAGGUUGCAACUGCGGAGACCACAGUGGAAGUCCCAGCGAUGGAGUCGAACGUUGAAGAGGGGCUGCUAUCCUCUUAGCAAGAGCUUCUAUAGGGACUUGAGGACCUAAAUGGAAAUGCGUGGAACGGGGUAGAUGGGGGCCUCUUUCUCAUUGAACCGAUCCUAUAUUGCUCGCAAGUAUAGAGAUUGCCCAGGUAAACCUGCAUCACGCUGCAUCACGCUGCGUCAGCAUCCGCUGUAAUCGCGAGCAGGUUCUCGACAGAUAACCUGGGCAUGUUAAUACAGGAGCCAUGGGUCCACAGAGGAGAGGUCAGGGGCCUCGACUUUUACUGCAACAAGAAUUCCUAACACAGGAUCUGGUCGCUGUGCACACCAGGGACAACGAACGUGCGGGCUUCGUUCUGACAGCGGCCUAUUUUUCAGGAAACACGCAUACUGCGCCCCCUGAGGCUGUGCAGAGCCUAGUGAAUUACAACAGUGGGGGAGUACAAACUGCAAUGCACAAAGUGAGUCUCUCCUUGAAUUUAUUAUUAGUAAUAACACUAGCCGACAAUUUUGACUAUUUUUUUUCUGCUCUGAAACCAAACUUGUUUUUUAUGUUGCUUUGAUAAGGUACACAUAUAAUUUAAAUUUAAAAAAAAUUGCUAGGUCCAGGUUAAGAGAAAAAUAAAAGUAAA
rnacentral:lncRNA from 1 species